GUUUGUGUGACUUGGGAUCCAAACAAGAGCUGGAGUUAGGUUAUCCCGAAGCUAGGAUAGUUGUUCAUUUUGUAGGGCUCAACCCCAGAAUUGCUGCAUGGCUUAUAGAUCCUGGGGAUGCUGCACCCUCUUUUGAAGAUUUAGUGGCAAAAUACCUUGAAAGCUCCAUCUCUGUUAAAAUGAACAGCACAUAUGGGAAUUCCUCAAGAAAUGUUGUGAAUCAGAAUGUACGGGUGAACCUGAAGAUACUCCACAGACUUACGAUGGGCCUUUGUUCCCAGUUGAAGGCAAGGCGUCUUACUGUAACUUGGAGUUGGCAGGCACUCUUGCUCACUGUUCCCCAAGAACACCUCUCACUC